rnacentral:rRNA from 1 species
GGGGGGCAUCCCCUUUUCACAAAAGAUUUAUCGCCGAAGGAUGAGUUUGCGUCCCAUUAGCUUGUUGGCGGGGUAACGGCCCACCAAGGCUUCGAUGGGUAGCCGGCCUGAGAGGGUGUCCGGCCACAUUGGGACUGAGAUACGGCCCAGACUCCUACGGGAGGCAGCAGUAGGGAAUCUUGCGCAAUGGACGAAAGUCUGACGCAGCAACGCCAUGUGUGGGAUGAAGCAUUUCGGUGCGUAAACCACUGUCGGCAGGGAAUAAAGCCCGUGUUCAUCACGGGGGUGAAUGUACCUGCAGAGGAAGCCCCGGCUAACUUCGUGCCAGCAGCCGCGGUAAUACGAGGGGGGCAAGUGUUGUUCGGAAUCACUGGGCGU